CAACAGGGAUUGCCCCAGUAACGGCGAGUGAAGCGGCAACAGCUCAGAUUUGAAAUCUGGCCUCUUUGGGGUCCGAGUUGUAAUCUGUAGAGGAUGCUUUUGGCGACGCGCCUUCCGAGUCCCCUGGAACGGGGCGCCAGAGAGGGUGAGAGCCCCGUAUGGUUGGACGCCGAACCUCUGUAAAGCUCCUUCGACGAGUCGAGUAGUUUGGGAAUGCUGCUCAAAAUGGGAGGUAAAUUUCUUCUAAAGCUAAAUACCGGCCAGAGACCGAUAGCGCACAAGUAGAGUGAUCGAAAGAUGAAAAGCACUUUGAAAAGAGGGUCAAAUAGCACGUGAAAUUGCUGAAAGGGAAGCGCUUGUGACCAGACUUGCGCCCGGUUGAUCAUCCAGCGUUCUCGCUGGUGCACUCUGCCGGGCUCAGGCCAGCAUCGGCUCUCCCAGGGGGAUAAAGGUCGCGGGAACGUAGCUCUCUCCGGGGAGUGUUAUAGCCCGUGGCGGAAUGCCCUUAGGGGGGGCCGAGGCCCGCGUUCGCAAGGAUGCUGGCGUAAUGGUCACCAGCGACCCGUCUUGAAACACGGACCAAGGAGUCAAGCAUUAGGGCGAGUCUUUGGGUGCAAAACCCGCAGGCGCAAUGAAAGUGAACGGAGGUGAGAGCUUCGGCGCAUCAUCGACCGAUCCUGAUGUUCUCGGAUGGAUUUGAGUAAGAGCCUUACCGCUUGGACCCGAAAGAUGGUGAACUAUGCCUGAAUAGGGUGAAGCCAGAGGAAACUCUGGUGGAGGCUCGCAGCGGUUCUGACGUGCAAAUCGAUCGUCAAAUUUGGGCAUGGGGGCGAAAGACUAAUCGAACCAUCUAGUAGCUGGU
rnacentral:rRNA from 1 species